UCACAUGAUGCGGUAAUUUGCGAUUGACCCAGUGUCUGUGAAGCCCUCGCCGGGGCUUCUUAUGCAGCGCUGCAGCAUGAUAUUCAUUUCUUACAUAUUCUGAUG
rfam:Aspergillus cristatus strain GZAAS20.1005 Scaffold_Scf_3, whole genome shotgun sequence.